UGUUUUCUCCCCCGCCCCCGGGCACGCAGCGAGAGCUGAGGCUGCCGGAAAGCUCGGCCGGCACAGGGCGCGGGGGAUCGAUGACUCGGCCGGUGGGCACGGCUACCUGGGUGAGGGGCAGCGGAGGGAGGGGGCGGCGGAGCGCCGAUGUCAUGGAUGGGCUCGGAGGGCCUGGCGGGAGGGGGGCGCCAGUGUUCAGGGCCGUUUCGGUGGCUAGGCGGGAUUGGCCGGAGCCGCGGUAAUCGCGCUCGCCUCGCCGACCGCCAUUUCACAUUCUGCGGAGUAGGCGGGGGCAGCCGCGGAAACGGCUUUUUACAAGGUGCUUUUGAAGUAAAGACCUGAUGGAAGUGACAAGCCAGCCUUGAGGAGGUCUGAGGGACAGCUUUCAAGACAAGGGGUCCUGAGAUGAGAGGGUGCCUGGUGUGUCUGAGGAGCAGCCUGGAGGUCAGCUGGGGGCUCAGCUCUGUGCAGCUUCACUCUGGGACCCAGGCUGCCCGGAGAAUCCCCAUCUGGAGCAUGGCCAGUCUCUGUGGGAGAGGGAGAAGAUAGAGUGGUGAACUGCGCACUGGCUUAUGCCCGAAAGGGACACACGACCCUUCUCCUCACGGGGCACUGGACAAAGUCAGUCAGGUGGCUGCACCCAACUUCAAAAGUAAUUCCUGGGUACACAUAAGGACUACUUCAUGUGACUUUUGAGAAUCUUCAAAUUUGGCAAAAUCACAUAGCACAUAACCUCCCUCCAAAAUGAGUUGAGAGUUGAAGAGCCAAGUGGAGAGAUGGAUGCUGGGUGGUCAGCUUGAUUCAUGGACCAUCUAAGGGACAUCUCUCCCACACUGGCCUAAUAUCCAGUCUCUCUUAGGGUUUUGAUCCAUGUUACUUUAUAAAACCAGAAAAAUGAGCUUCAUAAUUACAAGCAAAACAGGAGCUUCUGACUGAGUCAUCCCAACCUCAUCCCACUUCUCUGUGAACCUCAGGUACCACUACCAAGAAACUUAGCUAUACAACACAAGAUCUGUCCUCAGUAUACGCUGGUAUAGUGGUGUGUCACCAAUUCUCCUAAAAGUAGGUUGAAUAGAAAUCUUAAUAAAUACAAUAAAAUAACAUUAUGGUGUUCUUCUGAAUAGUUUCCCCUCUUUCUGCUCACCCUGUCUUCCCAUCACAUGGUUCUCCCCAUUCACCACCACCCAUUAAAUGGCCACUAGAGCGUCCUACUACACCUGGGCCUUCUCUUAUGUCUUCUCCAGCUUAGGAAAGUGCAGGUUGAAUGCACAGUUUGCCAACUACCGUAAUGGAAUGAAUAAAUAAAGGUCAUUGCUGUUUUUUGUUUUUUUGUUUUUUUUUCCUUGGCCGCACUGCACAGCUUGCGGGAAUCUCAGUUCCCCGAUCAGGGAUUGGACCCGGCCCACUGCACUGAAAGCCCAGAAUCCUAACCACCAGGCCACUGGGGAACUCCUUAUUGCUGUUUUUAAAAACUGUAUAUUUUUGGUAUUUGUAAUCAAAAGCAUUCGUUCAUUCAAAACAUCUUCUUGAACUCCUACCAUGUGCCACUUCCUCUUCUAAGCACUGCAGACACAGCCAUGAAUAGAAUGUGGAAGUAAUACAUAUUGUUGAAAACUGGGAGAGCAUAGAAAAGUAUUAAGAAAAGAUAAACUUUCCACUAACUCACCACUGAAACAUAACUGCUAGUAACAUGUUGGUGCCCUGUCUUUUUCCAAGCAUACAUAUUGUUCCUCCUUGCUCUUUCGAAUAAAAUUUACAACUCUGGACUUAUACAGUACAUUUUUUUCUUUAAAAAUUAUUUCUUCUUAUAAAAAUAAAUCAUAGCAGAUGCUCAGUAAGUAUUUGUUGAAUGAAUAAAUUAAUUAUAGAAACAGUAAAUUACAGAGAAGCAAAAAAUUAAAAAUGAAAGUCAUCAAUAAUAUCACUACUAAGAGAUAGUAUCACUAGUAAUAGUUUGGGUUGUUCAGUAUGGUUUUGAAUAAUCAACAUAUUUUUACAACAUCGCUCCACAAUGAUUAUUUUGUAAAUGACAACUUUCUCUUUUUUCCUAAUUACAAAAGUAACAUGCCAUUGUAGAUAUUUUGGAAAAUAUUGAAAACUACAAAAGGAAAAACCAAAAGUUAUUUGUAGUCCCACUGCCCUGAGACUACUGCUAUUAAUAUUCUCCAAUUGGGCUUCCCUGGUG